CCCGGCCGGCCAAGAAGUCAAAUUUGUUCCAUCCUUACUAAGGGCACUUUUUCUGCCAACUGAGGAAAAAGUGCUGCUAGUGGGGAAGUAACAGUUUGAGCUCCUCUUCUGCCUGGUGG
rnacentral:precursor_RNA from 15 species